AUUGAACGCUGGCGGCAGGCCUAACACAUGCAAGUCGAACGAGUGGCGGACGGGUGUGUAAUGUCUGGGAAACUGCCCGACGGAGGGGGAUAACUACUGGAAACGGUAGCUAAUACCGCAUACCAUCGGAUGUGCCCAGAUGGGAUUUGCUAGUAGGUGGGGUAAUGGCUCACCUAGGCGACGAUCCCUAGCCGGUCUGAGUGGGUGACCAGCCACACGGGAACUGAGACACGGUCCAGCCUCCUACGAGAGGCGGCAGUGGGGAAUAUUGCACAAUGAGCGCAGGCCUACUGCGGCCAUGCCGCGUGUAUGAAGAAGGCCUUCGGGUUGUAAGGUCCUUUCAGCGAGAAGGCGUUACUCGCAGAAGAAGCACCGGCUAACUACGUGCCAGCAGCCGCGGUAAUUC
rnacentral:rRNA from 1 species